UGAGGAAUAUUGGACAAUUGGCGCAAGCCUGAUCCAGCCAUGCCGCGUGCAGGAAGAAGCGUCUAUGGUGUGUGAACUGCUUUUGUACGGGAAGAAACACUCCUUCGUGAAGGAGCUUGACGGUACCGUAAGAAUAAGGAUCGGCUAACUCCGUGCCAGCAGCCGCGGUAAUACGGAGGAUCCAAGCGUUAUCCGGCAUCAUUGGGUUUAAAGGGUCCGUAGGCGGUUUAGUAAGUCAGUGGUGAAAGCCCAUCGCUCAACGAUGGAACGGCCAUUGAUACUGCUAGACUUGAAUUAUGAGGGAGUAACUGAAAUAUGUAGUGUAGCGGUGAAAUGCUUAGAUAUUACAUGGAAGACCAAUUGCGAAGGCAGGUUACUACUAAUGGAUUGACGCUGAUGGACGAAAGCGUGGGGAGCGAACA
rnacentral:rRNA from 1 species